rnacentral:rRNA from 1 species
GACGAACGCUGGCGGCGUGCCUAAUACAUGCAAGUAGAACUCUGAAGGAGGAGCUUGCUUCUCUGGAUGAGUUGCGAACGGGUGAGUAACGCGUAGGUAACCUGCCUGGUAGCGGGGGAUAACUAUUGGAAACGAUAGCUAAUACCGCAUAAGAGUAGAUGUUGCAUGACAUUUGCUUAAAAGGUGCAAUUGCAUCACUACCAGAUGGACCUGCGUUGUAUUAGCUAGUUGGUGAGGUAACGGCUCACCAAGGCGACGAUACAUAGCCGACCUGAGAGGGUGAUCGGCCACACUGGGACUGAGACACGGCCCAGACUCCUACGGGAGGCAGCAGUAGGGAAUCUUCGGCAAUGGACGGAAGUCUGACCGAGCAACGCCGCGUGAGUGAAGAAGGUUUUCGGAUCGUAAAGCUCUGUUGUAAGAGAAGAACGAGUGUGAGAGUGGAAAGUUCACACUGUGACGGUAUCUUACCAGAAAGGGACGGCUAACUACGUG